AUUGAACGCUGGCGGCAGGCCUAACACAUGCAAGUCGAACGAGUGGCGGACGGGUGAGUAAUGUCUGGGAAACUGCCCGAUGGAGGGGGAUAACUACUGGAAACGGUAGCUAAUACCGCAUACCAUCGGAUGUGCCCAGAUGGGAUUAGCUAGGAGGUGGGGUAACGGCUCACCUAGGCGACGAUCCCUAGCUGGUCUGAGAGGAGAACCGGCCACACUGGACCUGAUACACGGUCCAGAUUCCUACGGGAGGCAGCAGUGGGGAAUAUUGCACAAUGGGCGCAAGCCUGAUGCAGCCAUGCCGCGUGUAUGAAGAAGGCCUUCGGGUUGUAAAGUACUUUCAGCGAGGAGGCGUUACCCGCAGAAGAAGCACCGGCUAACUCCGUGCCAGCAGCCGCGGUAAUUC
rnacentral:rRNA from 1 species